GAAAUGGUGAAGGAGAAGGAUGGGGAUGCGUCUGAUUAGCUUGUUGGCGGGGUAACGGCCCACCAAGGCGACGAUCAGUAGGGGUUCUGAGAGGAAGGUCCCCCACAUUGGAACUGAGACACGGUCCAAACUCCUACGGGAGGCAGCAGUGAGGAAUAUUGGUCAAUGGGCGAGAGCCUGAACCAGCCAAGUAGCGUGCAGGAUGACGGCCCUAUGGGUUGUAAACUGCUUUUAUACGGGGAUAAAGUGAGCCACGUGUGGCUUAUUGCAGGUACCGUAUGAAUAAGGACCGGCUAAUUCCGUGCCAGCAGCCGCGGUAAUACGGAAGGUCCGGGCGUUAUCCGGAUUUAUUGGGUUUAAAGGGAGCGUAGGCCGUCUGUUAAGCGUGUUGUGAAAUGUCGGGGCUCAACCUGGGCAUUGCAGCGCGAACUGGCAGACUUGAGUGCGCGGGAAGUAGGCGGAAUUCGUCGUGUAGCGGUGAAAUGCUUAGAUAUGACGAAGAACUCCGAUUGCGAAGGCAGCCUGCUGUAGCGUAACUGACGCUGAAGCUCGAAAGCGUGGGUAUCGAACAGGAUUAGAUACCCUGGUAGUCCACGCGGUAAACGAUGGAUGCUCGCUGUUUGCGUCUGACGUAAGCGGCCAAGCGAAAGCGUUAAGCAUCCCACCUGGGGAGUA
rnacentral:rRNA from 1 species